rnacentral:rRNA from 1 species
CCUGAUCCAGCCAUGCCGCGUGUGUGAAGAAGGCCUUUUGGUUGUAAAGCACUUUAAGCAGUGAAGAAGACCAUAUGGUUAAUACCCAUAUGCGAUGACAUUAGCUGCAGAAUAAGCACCGGCUAACUCUGUGCCAGCAGCCGCGGUAAUACAGAGGGUGCAAGCGUUAAUCGGAAUUACUGGGCGUAAAGCGAGCGUAGGUGGCUUGAUAAGUCAGAUGUGAAAUCCCCGGGCUUAACCUGGGAACUGCAUCUGAUACUGUUAAGCUAGAGUAGGUGAGAGGGAAGUAGAAUUCCAGGUGUAGCGGUGAAAUGCGUAGAGAUCUGGAGGAAUACCGAUGGCGAAGGCAGCUUCCUGGCAUCAUACUGACACUGAGGCUCGAAAGCGUGGGUAGCAAACAGGAUUAGAUACCCUGGUAGUCCACGCCGUAAACGAUGUCUACUAGUCGUUGGGUCCCUUGAGGACUUAGUGACGCAGCUAACGCAAUAAGUAGACCGCCUGGG